AGGAUGAACGCUGGCGGCGUGCCUAAUACAUGCAAGUCGAACGAGAUCUUCGGAUCUAGUGGCGAACGGGUGAGUAACACGUUGGUACCUACCCCGAAGUGGGGAAUAACUGCCCGAAAGGGUGGCUAAUACCGCAUAAUACCGCAAGGUUAAAGCAGUAAUGCGCUUCGGGAGGGGCCUGCGUCCCAUUAGCUUGUUGGUAGUGUAAUGGACUACCAAGGCUACGAUGGGUAGCUGGAUCGAGAGGUUGACCAGCCACACUGGGACUGAGAUACGGCCCAGACCCCUACGGGAGGCAGCAGUAAGGAAUCUUCCACAAUGGACGAAAGUCUGAUGCAGCGACGCCGCGUGGGGGAUGAAGCUUCUCGGAGUGUAAACCCCUUUCGACCCGGAAGAAUGCCCGCAAGGGUAUGGACGGUACGGGUAUAAGAACGCCCCGGCUAACUACGUGCCAGCAGCCGC
rnacentral:rRNA from 1 species